UACGUAGGGGGCUAGCGUUGUCCGGAAUCAUUGGGCGUAAAGCGCGCGUAGGUGGCCCUGUAAGUCCGUUGUGAAAGUCAAAGGCUCAACCUUUGAAAGCCGAUGGAUACUGCAGGACUAGAGUACGGAAGAGGCGAGUGGAAUUCCUGGUGUAGCGGUGAAAUGCGCAGAUAUCAGGAGGAACACCGGUGGCGAAGGCGGUUCUCUGGGAAUGACCUGACGCUGAGGAGCGAAAGUGUGGGGAGCGAACAGG
rnacentral:rRNA from 1 species